rnacentral:rRNA from 2 species
ACGAACGCUGGCGGCGUGCCUAAUACAUGCAAGUCGAACGAACUCUGGUAUUGAUUGGUGCUUGCAUCAUGAUUUACAUUUGAGUGAGUGGCGAACUGGUGAGUAACACGUGGGAAACCUGCCCAGAAGCGGGGGAUAACACCUGGAAACAGAUGCUAAUACCGCAUAACAACUUGGACCGCAUGGUCCGAGUUUGAAAGAUGGCUUCGGCUAUCACUUUUGGAUGGUCCCGCGGCGUAUUAGCUAGAUGGUGGGGUAACGGCUCACCAUGGCAAUGAUACGUAGCCGACCUGAGAGGGUAAUCGGCCACAUUGGGACUGAGACACGGCCCAAACUCCUACGGGAGGCAGCAGUAGGGAAUCUUCCACAAUGGACGAAAGUCUGAUGGAGCAACGCCGCGUGAGUGAAGAAGGGUUUCGGCUCGUAAAACUCUGUUGUUAAAGAAGAACAUAUCUGAGAGUAACUGUUCAGGUAUUGACGGUAUUUAACCAGAAAGCCACGGCUAACUACGUGCCAGCAGCCGCGGUAAUACGUAGGUGGCAAGCGUUGUCCGGAUUUAUUGGGCGUAAAGCGAGCGCAGGCGGUUUUUUAAGUCUGAUGUGAAAGCCUUCGGCUCAACCGAAGAAGUGCAUCGGAAACUGGGAAACUUGAGUGCAGAAGAGGACAGUGGAACUCCAUGUGUAGCGGUGAAAUGCGUAGAUAUAUGGAAGAACACCAGUGGCGAAGGCGGCUGUCUGGUCUGUAACUGACGCUGAGGCUCGAAAGUAUGGGUAGCAAACAGGAUUAGAUACCCUGGUAGUCCAUACCGUAAACGAUGAAUGCUAAGUGUUGGAGGGUUUCCGCCCUUCAGUGCUGCAGCUAACGCAUUAAGCAUUCCGCCUGGGGAGUACGGCCGCAAGGCUGAAACUCAAAGGAAUUGACGGGGGCCCGCACAAGCGGUGGAGCAUGUGGUUUAAUUCGAAGCUACGCGAAGAACCUUACCAGGUCUUGACAUACUAUGCAAAUCUAAGAGAUUAGACGUUCCCUUCGGGGACAUGGAUACAGGUGGUGCAUGGUUGUCGUCAGCUCGUGUCGUGAGAUGUUGGGUUAAGUCCCGCAACGAGCGCAACCCUUAUUAUCAGUUGCCAGCAUUAAGUUGGGCACUCUGGUGAGACUGCCGGUGACAAACCGGAGGAAGGUGGGGAUGACGUCAAAUCAUCAUGCCCCUUAUGACCUGGGCUACACACGUGCUACAAUGGAUGGUACAACGAGUUGCGAACUCGCGAGAGUAAGCUAAUCUCUUAAAGCCAUUCUCAGUUCGGAUUGUAGGCUGCAACUCGCCUACAUGAAGUCGGAAUCGCUAGUAAUCGCGGAUCAGCAUGCCGCGGGUGAAUACGUUCCCGGGCCUUGUACACACCGCCCGUCACACCAUGAGAGUUUGUAACACCCAAAGUCGGUGGGGUAACCUUUUAGGAACCAGCCGCC